rnacentral:RNase_P_RNA from 1 species
CGGGUUGGACAGAUGAUCGCCCCGCUCUCGGGUGGGGAGGAAAGUCCGAACACCGUUUUUCGCGGUAACGCGGAAUUCAUGGAGAGCCGUUAACGACGGCCAGGAUAUGGCGAGACGAACGGACGGACACGUGCCUGACGUUCCCUCGUAAACCUAGGGAAAGUGCCACAGAGACAAUACUAGUUUCAGCGCAAGCUGGAAUGAAAGGUGAAAAGUGAAUGGACGUAGGUGACUUCGAUGGCAACGUCGAAGCAACGCCCCGCGACCAUUCUCCUUCAAUGGUGACAUUGAAGCGCGGCAAACCCUCUCCGGUGCAAGAGCAAGAGUUUCGACGGCAACGUCGGGACGCUGGUAGCUCGCACGAGGUGACGAGCAAUCGUCAUCCCAGAUAGAUGGUCAUCACGCGGGAGAAAUCCCGUGGACAAAAUUCGGCUUA